rnacentral:lncRNA from 1 species
CCCUGCUUGCCCAACGCGGGGAGCUCCGUCAUACAGAACCCCAGCCUGCACUCCGGCGUCCACUCUCGCCCCCAUUGCUGUGAUCUCCACACAACCACGAGCGGCCUUGAGAGCGCAGCGAGGCCGUGAGGCUGCGCAGAGCCCCUCAGUCAGCAGGACCGCGCUCACGGUUCAGUGGGCCGUCUGCUAGAGGCUUUCCGCAGUUCAUUCCUUCUCCCCACACAACUCUGAAGGUGGUCUAUAUGACCCAGGAAGUCAUGUCCAGGUCUGUGUCCUCUGCCGUCGUGUAUGCUGGCAAAGCGUGAUACCAGCACACAGGAGGGGAAGUCAGUAUCCUCGUGAUGGGCAGAACGGAUCACCGGUGAGUUCUGAGGAGGGCUCUGGAAGGGGAAAUAAGAACUAGAAGAGGCUCUGUCGGUGACCCCUGCCCCAACCCCACUCUGGGAAGGGGUUCAGGGAAGGGAAGAGCGAAGGAGGCUGAGGACCAGGCGGGUCCUGGCCAAGAGGAAGCCGCCUCUUGCCUUGGACCUAGGCAUCAGACCGGCAGGCAUUGUGCUGUGGGGCCAGCUAUUUCAGAGGAAGAUCAGCCCCAGCUCUGGGGCCCAGGACUGCUUGGCUCAUCGAAGAAUCCCGCCAUGCAGGUACGAUGAUGUACAAAAGAGGAAGCAAAGCACUGAACACAGAACCUGGCAAGCUGUAAUCAUCUGGCACAUCUGAACUGUCUGGGUGGUGUCUCCGCUGCUACCGCCUCAGUGCAGGUUUCCAUCAUCUGUUGCCUGUUGACCAUGAAACUCCCAACUCAAUCCUCUCACUCCAGCCUUCCUCAAACCCCAGUGUCUUCCACAUACUAGGACCAGAGUGAUCCUCUGAACAUAAAACUGAUUGAUAACAGAUCAUCCAAAUGGACUAAUAAUUGACCAAUUAAUAAUUGACAAUCAAAAAAUUCUCUCCUCAAAAAAAAAGGCAAGAAAACUGGCAAAAAAUGUCAAAAUCAACUUUUCUAGAACUCUGAAAGUUAACCACCAAAGGCUUGGAAUAAUCCGGGAAGCUUUUAUUUAAUUAAAAUGGC